UACGGGGGGGGCAAGCGUUGUUCGGAAUUACUGGGCGUAAAGGGCUCGCAGGCGGCCAACUAAGUCAGACGUGAAAUCCCUCGGCUUAACCGGGGAACUGCAUCUGAUACUGGAUGGCUUGAGAUUGGGAGAGGGAUGCGGAAUUCCAGGUGUAGCGGUGAAAUGCGUAGAUAUCUGGAGGAACACCGGUGGCGAAGGCGGCAUCCUGGACCGGCAUUGACGCUGAGGCGCGAAAGCCAGGGGAGCAAACGGG
rnacentral:rRNA from 1 species